UUAUCCUGGUCAAACCCCUCAAUCCCCACACAUUCCAUAACACCAUUUGGUUCUAGUGUAUUUGACAUGUUUCAUCCCUACAUUUCCCCUCAAAUCUCUAAAUUAUAGUGCAUUUUUCUCAAUACCAAUACACUACCCCUACCUAGUGUAUUGGGGAUAAAUGGGGAUUUUAAGGGAUUGGAUGAAGGUUGGGGUUUCAUUCAAUCCCUUGGAGGAUUAUCCCCACCAAUCCCCUCAAAAACACUAGUACCAAACAAAGCUUUAACGAUGUUAUUCUAACAUCAUGUGCUUAUUCUCACACGACUUCGGUACUACAAAAUCCUGCGAACCAUUCCAUACAGAGGCCCACCUCUCCACUUUCCUCCUCUCUCUCUCCCCCAUGCCUACCUCCCCAUCCUCUAAUCACGAGCCGCCCCACCCAUCCCACCUUCUCCGGUGUGGCGCACCACCCCGAGCCGCCGUCCCACCAUCCAACUUUCUGUGGCACGACACACCAUGCUCGGCCAUCGCCCCACCCUCCCACUUUCUCCAUGAGUGACGCAAACUCCGGACCCGCCGCCGCACUCAGCUUCCACAUUGUCCCCAAUUCUUCCUCACCUCCGGAGCCCCGACUCCCUCCCACCAUACCAAGCACCGCUGGAGCCCCGAAUCCCUCCCGCUGCACCACCCAUGACCGGGGUACCCUCAGCCCACCUCGCCACCCCGCCACCUCCCAUUCUGUGCCUCCCUUCCACAGAUCCCCACACGACUUAUGGCCAGAUCCGCCUCACCGCGGUCAGAUCCGUGCAUGCCGCGCAGGCCAGCGUGUCGCCGCUCCCCUUGCUUGUUGGAUCCCACCUCUCCCUCAAUGGUCCACCUCCAAUUCCUCUCUGAACUUUCGCUGAGACUCAUAAUUGUCGAGACCCCGGCUAGGCGACCUCUGUGUGUGAGCUCAAACGGCCGUCCACCAGUGGGAACAACAAGAGAGGACGGAAGGGGAUUGCCCGAACCACAGCAGGCGCGCAAGCUCCCAAUCUCGUGCAGACAUGUUCGUUGGUGUGGCUCUUCUUGUACACUCGGUCCAGUGCUGCAGUUCGAUCGGGAGGCAACACCAACAAUGACUCCAUAGGGACAAGGAAGGUCGCCGAAGCCCAUACUGCAGCUCCCUAGUUGUUUAGCAUGCAGUUCGGUACUCUUUUUGUGUUCAAAUUUAUUGUGUGUUGAAAGUGCAAUUUGAUGUUGGGUAAAUCUGUGAUGAACUUCAGUGAUCUCCCAUUACAAUUAUUUGGUGCCGGUAGUAUAAGAAAUUCAGAAUGGUGGUCGCUUUUGAAGUCCACUGCUCCCGUACGGGCAGCUCGCUAUAUUUUUUCUUCAUUUUGAGAGUGUUCGUGAAAAAAGGCGAGAGUGAGUGUGUAAUUAUUCAAAAGAAAUCAGAUGCAAUUCAUUUGUAUGAA